rnacentral:rRNA from 1 species
UAGGGAAUCUUCGGCAAUGGACGAAAGUCUGACCGAGCAACGCCGCGGGAGUGAAGAAGGUUUUCGGAUCGUAAAACUCUGUUGUUAGAGAAGAACAAGGACGUUAGUAACUGAACGUCCCCUGACGGUAUCUAACCAGAAAGCCACGGCUAACUACGUGCCAGCAGCCGCGGUAAUACGUAGGUGGCAAGCGUUGUCCGGAUUUAUUGGGCGUAAAGCGAGCGCAGGCGGUUUCUUAAGGCUGAUGUGAAAGCCCCCGGCUCAACCGGGGAGGGUCAUUGGAAACUGGGAGACUUGAGUGCAGAAGAGGAGAGUGGAAUUCCAUGUGUAGCGGUGAAAUGCGUAGAUAUAUGGAGGAACACCAGUGGCGAAGGCGGCUCUCUGGUCUGUAACUGACGCUGAGGCUCGAAAGCGUGGGGAGCAAACAGG